AUCAAGUUGAAAGAAGAGCAUUAUCUGCAAAUUUAAUUUCAAAUCAAAUAUCAAUAAUUAAUUCUUACUACCGAUUAAAAAUUGAUACAACUUUUUUUCUAAGUGUAUAAGUAUACAGAAAUAUUGCAACGAGCUAUAUUAAAAUGAAGACGAUUUGCAUUGUAUUAUUUGUAUCUUUUCUUCUCUUCAUUUCAUUUGAGUUGUGUGCUGGAGGGACAUGUAAUGGGACUUUUUGUAGAGGGUAUUGCUGCUUAAUUCAACAGCACCAAGAUUAUGUUGCGAAAUGCCUGACUUCGGAAAUUUCUAUCUGCUGCAGUGGACGUAUGUACUGAGCAUGUAUAUAUGUUCAUUGGCCUUUGUAACCAAAGAAUUGACUAUUGACUGGGAACGAUGGUGCCGUAUUUAUUCUAUAUCUAGAAA